CGACUCGCAUCUGGAAAAUUUACCUUACAGCUCGCUACCGAGCUCUUCUUACAGCAACUUACCUAAAGGGGAAAAAAAGAAUCAGACGUGACCCUGCGUGUUGCUGCCCUGCAAGAGUGAGCGUGCAAAUGUGCCUUUGUACGCUUAGGGUUAGUUCGAGUCACGGUAACAGCGGAAAGGGAGAGAUAUGGGCUUAUGCGGAGGCUCUGUGGGCUCUAGCGGGGGAAGAACUGGUUAAAUCAAUGUUAGGUCAUGCUGAAGGGCGUGUUUCCCCAUGGUCGUGGCCAUCUGUACCCAGCGUGGCAAGAGUGGGAAGGAGAAAUGUGAUGUGCCAGUUGAUUGGGUUGUCUGGAGGCAUGGAGAAGGUUGGACAUGUGCUCAUCAGGCAAGGCAAGAAGCACCAAACACAAGAUGUUUGUUACCUGGGCUCUAAGGACAUCCAAGGGAAAGACAGCAGAGAAGCGUGGUUGGUGGCAGUGCGGUGUGUUGAGGUCCUUGAACCAGCACUUGGAGGUGGAAAGAUCUCCGAGGAGGACGCUGUAGGAGGGAGCAGUGCUGCUUUUAGCUCAACAAGGCGCUUGGAAAACGUCGCUGGAUGUCGCUGCGCUCGUGGCUCCGCAAAUCUGCUGCCUGGCAUAGCUGCUCGCACGUCACCGAGCCUUGGCUGCAGAGAUGUCCUCAACUGAGCAGGAGAAGAGCCAUCCAGGUAUGGUGGCGGCAAGCUGAAGCCAUAAAAUGGCUAUUAGAUUAGCGCUUUUUACACGAGAGGGUUUUAACUGUUGAAAUAGAUGUCCGAAGGAUCUGGUGCGUUAUUUUUUUUCUCAGCUUUAUCUCAAGCUUAUAUCCAUCGUGCGGUGGCAGAUUCCUCCUCAGCCCUGGGUUAUGGGACUUGAUGGAGGAAUUUGUGGGUGAAAAGCACAACCUGCUUUAACGCAGGAGGCCAGGCUGGGUGUUCCUAAUGAUUUCUUCCUGCUUUCCAAGCUCCUGAUUAAAUCUGUGUCGUUUCCCACAAGUUGGGAGCCGAGCCCAGAGGGUGAAAUUCCAUACGAUUCACCGAUUAAUUCCACCGUCAUUCCUGCACGCCCGGGGUCUUAAUUGGUGCAGAAAGGGGAAUCUUUCCUUUCCCAAAUACCUUCAAGACAGUAGGCCCAGCUUUCCCAUCAAACCUGCUCCUACAACGCAACAGCGCUGUGACUGCUCUUCCCAGCUCGAGUGGAGUUGCUACCGUUUCUCCCGAUGAUAUACGAGGGUGUCAUGACUUGUUAUGUCACGUCAGCCGGUGCGGUGGGGUAAUAAGAGCUGAUGGGAUGCGGCAGCAGUCAUUUUGAAAUGGAAGGAAAAAAAAAGGGUUCUCUGUGCACCGAAGAGCACAUCUGGUUUGUGGCAUAAUUCAAAUUAACUUGGGGGAAUUCACUACAUCUCGGGUGUCUUCCAUGGUGACAUGCAACAUAGAAAUGCAAUCCUGGAAAGCUUUUAUGAAAGCUCAGCAGCCAGAGCGGUUUUAAAUUGCUUUUUUUUUUUUUAUUUAUUUAAAAAAAGAAAAAAAACCAACCUGAUGGCAAUUUCCUACUCUUGACUGAUUCUACCUAAUUUGCGCUUGCCCUGAUUGCAGUUUUAUAAACAGGAAUUCCAGGGCUACGUAUCUCUCCCCCAAGGCGGGGGAUGUUUAGCUUUUCACCUUUCUCUGGACGAAAUGCGAAUCGCCUGCGUUAAACCUCUCUGCGUAGGGUGAUGCUGGGAGAACAGAGAGCGGCCGUGCCUGCCGCCGCCCGGCUCAGGCGGGAACCCGCCGGUCCCCUUUGCAGGGACCCCCAGGAAAAUCCCAUCUAUUAACUCCCCGUGCCCUGCUCGCACCCAGGGGAAAGCGAUUCGGGGGUCGAUGAGCACGAAUGGACCUCGGGACCUUCCGGAGGGAAGCGAGCGUGCUGCGGUGCAAAUUGAACUGCACCAUCCAGCAGCCAGGCAAGAGGCAUCUCCUGGGGAAUUAAAACUUUAAUCCCUAAGGACACAGCAGAGAGAUUAUUUCCAGGGCGAGGAAGCAUGAAGCGGCGGCCGUUUAGGCUGCAGUGGUAUCUUCAAGCCUGGUCCAGGUGAUGGCCCAUGCUCGCAAAGCUCACCGCCUUCCUCUCGGAGACGAAGAUGGAUGGAAUAAGGGUGCAGUGGAUGGCUAAUGGAGAGGGUUUCGCCCUCUGAAAGGACGUCCUGGUGCUAGCCAAAUGCGCGGUUCCCUUAGCCGUCAGCAGGCCCGUUGCUAUUGGGAGCCAAAAUCAUCCCCUAUGCUGAUAAAGAGCUCUCCAAGUACUUAUUUUUUUUCCCCCCUUAACCUUAACUGAAAUGUAUCUCUUUUCCCUCAAAUCUGGAAUAGAAGUUUUGAGCCUCUCUGAGCUUUGUAGAGGUUGCAAAAUCCAACCAGUCCUCCCUGCGGGAAGAUCUGGCAAAGAGGAAUCCUCACGGCUUGAUUGGGGGGCACUCCGCUCGGAGCGGGUCCCCGCCAUGGGAUGUUCACUACAGGCAGCUGCAGAAAAUGGCCCUGCCUCUGGUCUUGUGGGGCUCAGAUUGGACCAUAACUCUGGGGAGAUGGAUUCUCUGCCAUGGGCCAGCUGGAUGAGCAGAAACGGUCAUGUCACCUCCUGUGCCUCGGUUUCCCCAGUUGUUGAAAUGGCAGCAAUGAUGUUCUUUCUUACGUGGCACUUCAAGACUCCUGAAGGAAAGGCUGGGAGCUUAGCAACUUUUGUUCAUGGGAAGAGCUACGCGAGAACAUCUUGUCUACACGCCACUCGGGAAGACUUAUUUUAUGCUGAGCUGUCAUGCACGUGGCCAUCAGAACCUGGAAGAGGAGUAGCUGUUGGAUUCCUCGUUCCCUCCAUGGUCCAGGAGCCCCUGCAAGACCGUCUCCAUCGUGAUCAUCAGAUACCAGCCCUCUGUAACGCGCUUUCCAUGAGGCUAGGCUUACACGUGGGGACCAGAUGUGGCCGUCCAAAAAGAUCAGGAAGAAAAGUCAAAGUUGGUUUUUUGUUUUUUUUUUUUUCCCUGAGCGGAAGUUCUUGUGAAAUGCAGAGUCGGAAACAUGGGAGCGACCUUCUUGAAGCGGACCAUUUAGUUUCAGUCUCAACACCAGAGAGCAAACGGCAAGCAGAAACACCAAAUCAUACAUCAGGAGCCGCUGCACGAAGCAAGAGAGAGGAGCGGUCCUGGUCGCUGAAGCCCAGCACCCCGUGGCAGAGGGAGCGCUCGACGUAUGGAGAGGUUUAGUAAGGUCUCUCCUCACCGCGUACCCUCCAGCUGUACAGCAAGACGUGGGACCUCCAUUGUUGAGCUUGAGCCAUUUGGAUGCUUUCUCUGCUGCCUUCAGGGCUGAAGUUCGGGUGCUUCUGAGCUUUGGGCUUUCUUUUCAUACGUGCUACGGUGUUGUCUGAGUUGCUUCGUGAAGACUUCCUGCUCGAUGGAGUCUGGAGAUCAUCUGCUGGACUAAUGGGAAAGUAAACCAGAAAAUGCUUCAGGUUAUCUCCUUCCCCCACCGCCUCCCUGCAAAAAACCAGCUCUAGAGGAUGACUUUGCGGAGGACCGUAAAGAUCUGUGGUCCUGGUGGGGCUUGGUGAGAGGCAGCAUCUCUUGAGAAGCCGGUGAGGAGCAUCGCCCCGGGCAAAGGGCGGACGGGACGCGUGGGAUGGAGAUGCCACCCUUCUGCACCAGGCACCCAGUGAAAAUCGUGAUGGAUCAUGGUAAGAAACGGGGGUUUUCCCAUCAGUGGAAGGUGUCUUUGUCUUUCCUUCUUGGAUUCC